rnacentral:misc_RNA from 1 species
UCCCGGUUGGCCCGGGCAGUCCCGUCUGAGAAAUACAACAGACGGCAAGGGUUGCGCUCGUUGCGGGACUUAACCCAACAUCUCACGACACGAGCUGACGACGGCCAUGCAACACCUGUCACCGGGUUCCGGCUGCCAAUCCACGAUAAAUAUCCUGGACUCGCAGCCGGCACAUCACUGUUUCCAGCGACUUCCCGGGAUGUCAAGCCUCGGUAAGGUUCUUCGCGUAUCUUCGAAUUAAACCACAUGCUCCACCGCUUGUGCGGGUCCCCGUCAAUUCCUUUGAGUUUUAAGCUUGCGCUCGUACUCCCCAGGCGGGAUGCUUAACGCGUUAGCUUCUCAGCCCAGAGGGUCGAUACUCCAAACUAAUAGCAUCCAUCGUUUACGGCGUGGACUAC